AAUCUGCGAUAAGCGCCGGUAAGGUGAUAUGAACCGUUAUAACCGGCGAUUUCCGAAUGGGGAAACCCAGUGUGACUCGUCACACUAUCAUUAACUGAAUCCAUAGGUUAAUGAGGCGAACCGGGGGAACUGAAACAUCUAAGUACCCCGAGGAAAAGAAAUCAACCGAGAUUCCCCCAGUAGCGGCGAGCGAACGGGGAGGAGCCCAGAGCCUGAAUCAGCAUGUGUGUUAGUGGAAGCGUCUGGAAAGGCGCGCGAUACAGGGUGACAGCCCCGUACACAAAAGCGCAUGUGCUGUGAGCUCGAUGAGUAGGGCGGGACACGUGGUAUCCUGUCUGAAUAUGGGGGGACCAUCCUCCAAGGCUAAAUACUCCUGACUGACCGAUAGUGAACCAGUACCGUGAGGGAAAGGCGAAAAGAACCCCGGCGAGGGGAGUGAAAAAGAACCUGAAACCGU
rnacentral:rRNA from 1 species